rnacentral:rRNA from 1 species
UACAGAGGGUGCAAGCGUUGUUCGGAAUUACUGGGCGUAAAGCGUGCGUAGUCGGUAUUGAGAGUCGCGGGUGAAAUCCCAGGGCUUAACCCUGGAACUGCCUGCGAGACCUCAGUACUAGAGUGUGAGAGGGGAUAGUGGAAUACCAAGUGUAGCGGUGAAAUGCGUAGAGAUUUGGUAGAACACCGAUGGCGAAGGCAGGUCUCUGGGCUGACACUGACGCUCAUGCACGAAAGCGUGGGGAGCAAACAGG